CUGGCCCACUUUGUUUCCUUGCCUCUAUUCUGAAGACCUGAAAUGAAUAGCAGUGAUGUCCUUGUUGUUUUUUAACAUUUAUGAUUAAAGAAACAGGCCUGUGCAAACUCUCCAGUCUUCAUGGUUUUGAGGACAGAGGCUUCUUGCUCAUUUGUUGUAGAGGAGGCUAUAAAACCACAAGAUAAAAAUACUUAACAGCCAACUAGCAUCUGCAACAUAAACAGGUUAAUUUCAGCUGAAGUUUCCUGAUCUAACUGGUCAUGUGGUUUCAUGGCUGCUCACUCUCAGAGAUGCAGUAAGAUCACACACCUGAACAAUGGCAAAGCUGCUCCUUUCAGCCACAGCAUCUCUGCGCACUAGCCAACAUUUUCAGGAAGCAUAAGUUUCAACAGUGCAUCUCCAGAGAUUGGCUCCUGCAGCACCACCUGCUCACCCUACCUCCUUCCAAGCAGGCAGCAGCAGUUGGAUUUGGGCCCCAAGGCUCUCUUACUUCGUUCUUGGUAUGGCUCAUGGUCCCAGCACAUGCUGAAGCUGUGCUCAGGGGGUGCUGUGGACGUGGUACUGGGGAACAAGCGUUUCCAGAUAUGUCCUCACAGUUUGCAGCAGUAUUCCUGAAUUCCUGUUUUGACUGUUGUCUACAGAUAUUGAUGAAAAGCCCUUUUCAUGACAAAGGCAGGAAGCUUUUAACAUGAAAACGGUCAAACUGUUGUCACAAUUCAAAGCAAAUAUGAGGCCUGGAUAGAAACACAAUGUAAACAUUCCCAGGAGAAGCUUCUUGAGACUUGUUAGGCAGAGCAAAGUUGGCACAGUAUCCCAUUAGCAAUGCUAAAAAUCAAAUAGUUUCUUAUUUGUUAUUUUUGCACUAUUUAAGUGACAUUCUAUUUGUUUUAAGAUUUAGUUGCUGACGCACAAGUCUCCUCUGUCCACUGAUUCACAUCAUAUGAGCACGCUGUGCAGUCACAAGUGUCUGCUUUGCUGAAUUGUUUUUGCAAAUGAAAAAUCAAUAAUUAAUCCAUAGCUGAGAUAGAGAACUCAAUCCCAUUACGAGAUUGCUGCCACUGUGAAGGUUUUCAAUUAUAUUUGUAUUAAAAGAGGAGGAGACUGAGGGCAUUUGCUGCUUCUGGUUUGGUCUACUGCUCCAGUUUUGUGGUUUUUUUUUUUUUCCUAAGGUGCCUAUCACCAGGCUAUCUCAGUAACAAUAAACUAGUUACUCAAAUGUUGUACUGAAUAGUGCUUUCAAGAUAACUCAAUGUAAUGAGAAUGAAACUUUCUGAUAAUGAUAAAAAUGUUUGUUCAAUGACUUUCUACCAUAAUUCCCAAGUGAACAAGAAGCCCAUGAGCUCAUGAACUGUGUUUAGUAAUUCAGUAACAUCUCGUACCUGAAAAAGGCAAAUUGCUGUCCAACUGAUUUAUAUUAACUCACCUGCUGGAGGUAUCGCUCUGAGGGGUGGGAAUGUACAAAUGCUCAGAGUAAAACUAACAAAGUUAGAAGAUUAAAGGUAAAGCAAACAAUUUUUAAUUACAAACUCUCUCAGUAUUCGCAAGAUACUGUAGAAGGAAUGAAAGUAGGACAGAAUUGGCAAGCGUGUUUAUUUUUUCGUUUGCUUACUUUACUUUAUUUAACCUGUUGCUGUCACCAUGGCAGUUGUUAUCUCCUAAAGAAUAGAGAGCACAUAGCCACAACUUUUGGUUCUUUUCUCAAGUAUACAACAAAGAGGCUAUCCAGAAAACUAGCUCCUGCUAUGGUGAAUCUAUUGAGGGUGUGAAAGAUUUCAGUUUAAGGCUUGGGAUUUUCUGCAGUAUAUUACUCUGGUUGCAUAGUCAUUAGCAUUUGCUGGGUUGUGUUCCCACUUACAGUUUCUUCAGGGGCAAAUCUGAUUCUCCUGUUCUUUUUCUGCCUGCCAUACAGAUUGCUGCCAUGGUUGUGAUCUAACUCAGACUGGUGAAACGAUCCACUUAGAAAAACUCUUUUAAAGAGUUUUGGUGAUAUAUGUAAUAACUUGGAGUUAUCUGUGGCUCUGUCUUGGUUUGCUCAGGCUCAGCACAAGCACGCUAAUGGCAGCUUCAACAGUGAUGAGAUCAUAAGCUUGGUGCAUGCUUCAUGGUCAGCUUUAGGUCUGAUCCCCAAUACACAGAGUCCAAUGGGACCAGAAGCAAUGCUCACUCUAGGACUCUUUAUGUGUUCAGGAACACAGUGCAGGGCAGAUCUCUGGGAAUAUCGCCACAGAGCUGUUGCAUUAGUUUAGCCUGUCGUUGUGUUUCCCCUAUUACUUCAUAAAUUUGCAACAGAAGCAGAAGUUGUAAAACUCUUCAGCUAUUGGUAGCGCUUGAUUGCUUUUUAAUAUGCUGCAGUUGCUUCUCUCUGGACUGGUUACACAGCCUGUGCUUUUGAAAAAACAAUAUGAGCUGAAAAUAUAGCAAGAUGUGCACAGAAGUAAAUGAAAGAAAAAGAAUAACGGCUUCAAGGCAAAAAUUCUCAAAGAUUCUUUAUACCAGAACAAGUUGAAGCUCGUUUCCCCCACAAGCUCUACUGUGAGGAAAAUUCAGCUGCUCAAAUAUUCACAAAGUAAAAUCAAAGCAAUUAUAAAUAUAUUAAAUUUCUUGCAUUUUGAGUUGAUGCUGGUGAAAAAUUGAGGGGAAACUGUGGGAACACGUCAUGUUUUCUACAGGAUUUUUCCUACACUGGAGGCAACAUAGACUUAUUCUUUAAGCAGUUACUCUUUAUUCCUCCUUAUGAGUUAAACAUUUUGUGGUUGGCUUCCUUCAGAGAUUUUUUUUUUUUUUAAAUGUAAGUAAGAAUAUUACUAGCUGGAUGGUUUCUGAGUUGCAAGCCUCCAGCUGCAGCAUAGGAGUUUUCAGGAGAACACGUCUCUGAAGAGCAAAAAGUUGGCCGUAGUUCCUCAAAGAAUCACUUCAGAAAUGUGUGAGUAGCACCACUCAGCUGCUUGCUGAAUCUUAGUCACUUGUGCCUUGGCUUUUGCAAUAGCCACGUGAAAAAGAAAGGGUUAUUUAUUAAGAGCAGAACAGUUCCCUUUUAGUUCUGUAGCAAUCAUGUCUCUUUUUUUCCAGUCCAUGGAAAGUGUUAUCUCAGGCAGCUUUGUGCAGGAAGUUCUGUUUAUCACUUCCUCACAGUUGCAGUUUGUCUAGGACUUAAAUAUAUGAUAUCAGAUUGCAUCAAAAUGUGGGCCUUUGUGUGCUUAACUCAUCAAAGGAGUGGACCCUCAGGACUUGAUAUCACUUCGCUGCAUAUGCAGUCAUGUAACAAAACAAAGUCUAUCUAAACAGGACAGAGCUAUUUCUGUUGGUAGUGUAGCAAAGCAAGCAGAAUUGGUGUAGUUUCAGGUAUCUGCACUGUUUCACUUCUUGUUUUUAAAUUUAUCACUUUUUUAAAAAGUGACAUGGUUUGCCUGUUUUUACUAUGUAAACUAUGUUGAAAAACCAAAAUAUUACUUGUUUUUUUUUUUUAAUUGUACACUAUAAGCCAAACUCAAAAGAGAUUCACUUGGUAGAAGUUAGUGCUAUGCAUGCUUGCAUUGCAAAAACACCCUUUAGAGCUUUGAAUUCGUAUGUUUUAGUCGACUUGAGAAAA